rnacentral:rRNA from 1 species
CGAGCGGAGAUUCAGGAAGAGCUUGCUCGGAGAGGAAUUUCAGCGGCGGACGGGUGAGUAACGCGUGAGCAACCUGCCUUCAACAGGGGGACAACGCAUCGAAAGAUGUGCUAAUACCGCGUAAGACCACAGCAUCACAUGAUGCAGGGGUCAAAGGAGCAAUCCGGUUGAAGAUGGGCUCGCGUCCGAUUAGCUGGUUGGCGGGAUAAAAGCCCACCAAGGCGACGAUCGGUAGCCGACCUGAGAGGAUGAUCGGCCACAUUGGAACUGAGAGACGGUCCAGACUCCUACGGGAGGCAGCAGUGGGGAAUAUUGGGCAAUGGGCGAAAGCCUGACCCAGCAACGCCGCGCGAGGGAUGAAGGGUUUCGGCUCGUAAACCUCUGUCCUGUGGGACGAAGGACGUGACGGUACCACAGGAGGAAGCCCCGGCUAACUACGUGCCAGCAGCCGCGGUAAUACGUAGGGGGCGAGCGUUGUCCGGAAUGAUUGGGCGUAAAGGGCGCGUAGGCGGCCUGCUAAGUCUGGAGUGAAAGUCCUGCUUUCAAGGUGGGAAUUGCUUUGGAUACUGGCGGGCUGGAGUGCAGGAGAGGAAAGCGGAAUUACCGGUGUAGCGGUGAAAUGCGUAGAGAUCGGUAGGAACACCAGUGGCGAAGGCGGCUUUCUGGACUGAAACUGACGCUGAGGCGCGAAAGCGUGGGGAGCAAACAGGAUUAGAUACCCUGGUAGUCCACGCUGUAAACGAUGA